rnacentral:tRNA from 1 species
AGGUCAGUAGCUCCAAUGGCAGAGCGCUGGUCUCCAAAACCAGAUGUUGUAGGUUCGAGUCCUACCUGGCCUG